UGCAGUCGAGCGGGGGAAGGUAGCUUGCUACCGGACCUAGCGGCGGACGGGUGAGUAAUGCUUAGGAAUCUGCCUAUUAGUGGGGGACAACAUCUCGAAAGGGAUGCUAAUACCGCAUACGUCCUACGGGAGAAAGCAGGGGAUCUUCGGACCUUGCGCUAAUAGAUGAGCCUAAGUCGGAUUAGCUAGUUGGUGGGGUAAAGGCCUACCAAGGCGACGAUCUGUAGCGGGUCUGAGAGGAUGAUCCGCCACACUGGGACUGAAACACGGCCCAGAAUCCUACGGGAAGGAGCAGUGGGGAAUAUUGGAAAAUGGGGGGAAACCUGGACCCAGCCUUGCCGCGUGUGUGAAGAAGGCCUUAUGGUUGUAA
rnacentral:rRNA from 1 species